UACAGAGGGUGCAAGCGUUGUUCGGAAUUAUUGGGCGUAAAGCGCGUGUAGGCGGUGGUGCUUGUCGGGUGUGAAAGCCCUCGGCUCAACCGGGGAAGUGCGCCCGAAACUGCAUCGCUGGAGUGCCGGAGAGGGUGGCGGAAUUCCCGGUGUAGAGGUGAAAUUCGUAGAUAUCGGGAGGAACACCAGUGGCGAAGGCGGCCACCUGGACGGACACUGACGCUGAGACGCGAAAGCGUGGGGAGCAAACAGG
rnacentral:rRNA from 1 species